rnacentral:rRNA from 1 species
AGAAUCAACGCUGGCGGCGUGCCUCAGACAUGCAAGUCGAACGAUUAAAGCUCUCUUCGGAGAGUGCAUAGAGUGGCGCACGGGUGAGUAACACGUAAGUAAUCUACCUUUGAGUGGGGAAUAACGUUCGGAAACGGACGCUAAUACCGCAUAAUGCAGCGGCAUCGCAAGAUGACAGUUGUUAAAGGAGCAAUCCGCUUAAAGAGGAGCUUGCGGCAGAUUAGCUUGUUGGUAAGGUAACGGCUUACCAAGGCUACGAUCUGUAUCCGGUCUAAGAGGACGGUCGGACACACUGACACUGAAUAACGGGUCAGACUCCUACGGAGGCAGCAGUCGGAAUUUUGGGCAAUGGGGAAACCCUGACCCAGCAACGCCGCGUGAAGGAUGAAGUAUUCGUAUGUAAACUUCGAAAGAAUAAGGAAGAAUAAAUAGAACGGUAACCUAUUUAAUAAAGGUCCCGGACUAACUACGUGCCAGACAGCCGUAC